AGCGAACGCUGGCGGCAGGCUUAACACAUGCAAGUCGAACGGGCGUAGCAAUACGUCAGCGGCCGACGGGUGAGUAACGCGUGGGAACGUGCGCUUUGGUUCGGAACAACACAGGGAAACUUGUGCAAAUACCGGAUAAGCUCUUACGGGGAAAGAUUUAUCGCCGAAGGAUCGGCCCGCGUCUGAUUAGCUUGGUGCGGAGGUAACGGCUCACAAAGGCUACGAUCAGUAGCUGGUCUGAAAGGAUGAUCAGCCACACUGGGCCUGAGACACAGCCCAGACUCCUUCGGGAGGCAGCAGUGGGGAAUCUGAGACAAGGGGGGCAAGCCAGAUCGAGCCAUGGCGCGUAAGUGAUGAAGGCCCUAGGGUUGUAAAGCUCUGUCGGCGGGGAAGAUAAUGACGGUACCCGCAUAAGAAGCCCCGGCUAACUUCGUGCCAGCCGCCGCCGUAA
rnacentral:rRNA from 1 species